UACGAAGGGGGGCUAGCGUUGCUCGGAAUCACUGGGCGUAAAGGGUGCGUAGGCGGGUCUUUAAGUCAGGGGUGAAAUCCUGGAGCUCAACUCCAGAACUGCCUUUGAUACUGAGGAUCUUGAGUUCGGGAGAGGUGAGUGGAACUGCGAGUGUAGAGGUGAAAUUCGUAGAUAUUCGCAAGAACACCAGUGGCGAAGGCGGCUCACUGGCCCGGUACUGACGCUGAGGCGCGAAAGCGUGGGGAGCAAACAGG
rnacentral:rRNA from 1 species